UUUUUGGUGACUGAAAUUUAAGUGAUAGACUUUUAAUCUAUUUAUGAGCUAGGCUCCCUUGCGAUGAU